CCUACGGGAGGCAGCAGUGAGGAAUAUUGGUCAAUGGGCGCGAGCCUGACCCAGCCAAGUCGCGUGAGGGAUGAAGGUUCUAUGGAUCGUAAACCUCUUUUAUAAGGGAAUAAAGUGUGGGACGUGUCCUAUUUUGUAUGUACCUUAUGAAUAAGGAUCGGCUAACUCCGUGCCAGCAGCCGCGGUAAUACGGAGGAUCCGAGCGUUAUCCUGAUUUAUUGGGUUUAAAGGGUGCGUCAGCGGCCUUUUAAGUAAGCGGUGAAAGUCUGUGUCUCAAACAUAGAAUGGCCGUUGAAACUGGGGGGCUUGAGUAUGUUUGAGGCAGGCGGAAUGCGUGGUGUAGCGGUGAAAUGCUGAGAUAUCACGCAGAACCCCGAUUGCGAAGGCAGCCUGCCAAGCCAUGACUGACGCUGAUGCACGAAAGCGUGGGGAUCAAACAGGAUUAGAUACCCCUGUAGUC
rnacentral:rRNA from 1 species